GUGGGUAUAGCUCAGUUGGUUAGAGCGCCAGGUUGUGGCCCUGGAGGUCAUCGGUUCGACUCCGAUUAUCCACCCCA
rnacentral:tRNA from 1 species